rnacentral:rRNA from 1 species
CCCGUCUUUGACACGGACUACCAGGGCUUUGUGGUAUGCUCUCAAAGAGUCGAGUUGUUUGGGAAUGCAGCUCAAAAUGGGUGGUAAAUUCCAUCUAAAGCUAAAUAUUGGCGAGAGACCGAUAGCGAACAAGUACCGUGAGGGAAAGAUGAAAAGAACUUUGGAAAGAGAGUUAAACAGUACGUGAAAUUGCUGAAAGGGAAACGCUUGAAGUCAGUCGCGUUGGCCGGGGAUCAGCCUUGCUUUUUGCUCGGUGUACUUCCUGGUUGACGGGUCAACAUCAAUUUUGACCGCUGGAAAAAGGCUUGGGGAAUGUGGCAGCUUCGGCUGUGUUAUAGCCUCUUGUUGCAUACAGCGGUUGGGAUUGAGGAACUCAGCACGCCGCAAGGCCGGGUUUCGACCACGUUCGUGCUUAGGAUGUUGGCAUAAUGGCUUUAAGCGACCCGUCUUGAAACACGGACCAAGGAGUCUAACAUGCCUGCGAGUGUUUGGGUGGUAAACCCAAGCGCGUAAUGAAAGUGAAAGUUGAGAUCCCUGUCGCGGGGAGCAUCGACGCCCGGACCAGAACUUUUGGGACGGAUCCGCGGUAGAGCAUGUAUGUUGGGACCCGAAAGAUGGUGAACUAUGCCUGAAUAGGGUGAAGCCAGAGGAAACUCUGGUGGAGGCUCGUAGCGAUUCUGACGUGCAAAUCGAUCGUCAAAUUUGG